rnacentral:rRNA from 1 species
UACGUAGGGACCAAGCGUUGUUCGGAUUUACUGGGCGUAAAGGGCGCGUAGGCGGCCUAGCAAGUCACUUGUGAAAUCUCCGGGCUUAACUCGGAACUGCCAAGUGAAACUGCCAGGCUAGAGUGCAGAAGGGGCAAUCGGAAUUCUUGGUGUAGCGGUGAAAUGCGUAGAUAUCAAGAGGAACACCUGAGGUGAAGACGGGUUGCUGGGCUGACACUGACGCUGAGGCGCGAAAGCUAGGGGAGCGAACGGG